rnacentral:tRNA from 1 species
CGGCGAGUAGCGCAGCUUGGUAGCGCAACUGGUUUGGGACCAGUGGGUCGGAGGUUCGAAAUCCUCUCUCGCCGACCA